UACGAAGGGGGCUAGCGUUGCUCGGAAUCACUGGGCGUAAAGCGCACGUAGGCGGGUUCUUAAGUCGGGGGUGAAAUCCUGGAGCUCAACUCCAGAACUGCCUUCGAUACUGAGAACCUUCGAGUCCGGAAGAGGUGAGUGGAACUCCGAGUGUAGAGGUGAAAUUCGUAGAUAUUCGGAAGAACACCAGUGGCGAAGGCGGCUCACUGGUCCGGUACUGACGCUGAGGUGCGAAAGCGUGGGGAGCAAACAGG
rnacentral:rRNA from 1 species